rnacentral:lncRNA from 1 species
ACGGACUUUUUCUUCUCUUUUUCUCAGGACGAAGUUUCUUAUUCCCUAGCCUAAGCUACAGUUUGAUAUAAGCUCCUGCGUGCAGGUUGGCACAGGUGGCUUCAAUCUGCCGAUUACCAGAAGUACAAGAGGCUUGGUUUCCCUGCUACACACUGCCAGUUUGUUUGUUGACUUCAGUCAGUCAUCUACCUGUUGCGUUCUUGUACUUACCGCAAUUAUCUUUUGUCUAGAAAACUGUCUGCGUACUACCUGCCUCCAGUUUGCCUGCCUGCCCGCCCAUACUAACCUGCCCAUCUGCCUACUCUUCAGGUGGUGCACACGACGGAA